rnacentral:rRNA from 1 species
CUAACGUGGACCCGUUACCCGGGUUGCGGACAGUGUCUGGUGGGUAGUUUGACUGGGGCGGUCUCCUCCUAAAGAGUAACGGAGGAGCACGAAGGUUGGCUAAUCCUGGUCGGACAUCAGGAGGUUAGUGCAAUGGCAUAAGCCAGCUUGACUGCGAGCGUGACGGCGCGAGCAGGUGCGAAAGCAGGUCAUAGUGAUCCGGUGGUUCUGAAUGGAAGGGCCAUCGCUCAACGGAUAAAAGGUACUCCGGGGAUAACAGGCUGAUACCGCCCAAGAGUUCAUAUCGACGGCGGUGUUUGGCACCUCGAUGUCGGCUCAUCACAUCCUGGGGCUGAAGUAGGUCCCAAGGGUAUGGCUGUUCGCCAUUUAAAGUGGUACGCGAGCUGGGUUUAGAACGUCGUGAGACAGUUCGGUCCCUAUCUGCCGUGGGCGCUGGAGAACUGAGGGGGGCUGCUCCUAGUACGAGAGGACCGGAGUGGACGCAUCACUGGUGUUCGGGUUGUCAUGCCAAUGGCACUGCCCGGUAGCUAAAUGCGGAAGAGAUAAGUGCUGAAAGCAUCUAAGC